UACGGGGGGGGCAAGCGUUGUUCGGAAUUACUGGGCGUAAAGGGCUUGUAGGUGGCCCGCUAAGUCAGACGUGAAAUCCCUCGGCUCAACCGGGGAACUGCGUCUGAGACUGGCGGGCUCGAAUCCGGGAGAGGGAUGCGGAAUUCCAGGUGUAGCGGUGAAAUGCGUAGAUAUCUGGAGGAACACCGGUGGCGAAGGCGGCAUCCUGGACCGGUAUUGACACUGAAAAGCGAAAGCCAGGGGAGCAAACGGG
rnacentral:rRNA from 1 species